ACCAUACCGAAUUUAAUAAGGUACAGUAUUUUUAUAGGAUUUUAAGAAACCGAAUACCGAAAAUACCGAACCGAAAUGUUUAAAUACCGUACCCUACCGACCGACGAACACCCCUAGACACGACACUAGUAUCGGUGUGGGUAUGGGAUCCGUACCGUAUCUAGUCAAACAAUUUUGGAUACUUUGACCACACGAGACAGAAAAAUUCGA
rnacentral:lncRNA from 1 species